CAUUAUGAAUACCCGGGAUGCCCUUUUGGGUUUCCGAUCAAAAACCACUCUGUGUACCAAUCCAUGUUGCUUCCACAGGCUAAGAGAUAGGGCACCUGUGGAAAGAUCCCACCUCAACUAAGUUAUUGAUCACGCUGUCUGACCCGGCAGAGUGCCGGAUUUGUUAUGUAACUGAAAACUUUCAACAACGGAUCUCUUGGCUCUCGCAUCGAUGAAGAACGCAGCGAAAUGCGAUAAGUAAUGUGAAUUGCAGAAUUCAGUGAGUCAUCGAAUGUUUGAACGCACAUGGCGCCCUUUGGCAUUCCUUAGGGCAUACCUGUUCGAGCGUCACUACAAACCCCCUCACAGAUAAUGUGGUCUUGGUAGGAGUGGACUGCUUGCGCAUGAGAAUAUGCUAGCGAGAUACUCUGCUGAAAUUCAUAGGGUGGGUACCUGGUAUGAGUAACAGACUUUAUAAAUGUCUACAGGACAAGGAAGGGUCAGUACCGUGCUCGGUCACGACCAUCAUUACCCCCAAUCCCAGAUCAAUUAUGUGUGACCUCAAAUCAGGUAAGGAUACCCGCUGAACUUAAGCAUAU
rnacentral:sRNA from 1 species